AUGGGUCAAAUAGACAAAACCCGGUCCAUCAACAACCACUUUUAUGAUUUAUCUAUUUUUUUGCUUAAAUCCCAAAAAACGAUUACGCAUCAAACUAUCAAGCUUGAUGAAGUAGUAACAAGAAAACGCGAAGAAAAGGAGCAUAAUCGACUUACCAACCAAAGUGGCUCUAACGACUCUUCGAAGGAGGCGGAGACAGAGAGAAAUCCAGUGAAUCUCGCGUAUUCAGGCUUAUCAAAAUUUGGAUUGCUUGCUCAUGAUCAACUUGGUGUUACCUGCUGA